AUGAUUAGAUUGCUAAGAACUGAAGAUGAUGGCUGGUACAUCUGUGAAUACAGAGUGUCUCACAACCAUGAGAUGUUACACACAUGCGCACAGAAACUUCACUUCCCUUCCCACCGGCACAUUGACAAAUAUUCCAGAGAGCUGGUAUCUCAACUGCGUCGGAAUAAUGUCAACCUCAGGAAAGUUUACAGCAUAAUCGACACAUUUUUUGGGUGUAUAGAGAAUGUUCCUUUCACCAAGAGAUGCCUGAGGACCUUGUGCGCGAAACUAAGCAGAGACCAGGGAAAUGAAGAUGCUAAGAAGACAAUGGAUUAUUUUGCAGAGCUCAAGCAGUCUGACCCUGAAUUCACUUAUACAGUCUGA
rnacentral:rRNA from 1 species